rnacentral:misc_RNA from 1 species
AAAAAAAAAAUAAAGAAAUUGAAAACCACAGCUAAUAAUUUGGGAGUGGUUGAAACCCCACUUACCCAAAAAAAAACAAAGAAAUUGAAGACUAAUGCUAUUGAUUUUAGGGCUUAAGAAAUAAAUAAACCUUAAAUUUGCUAGUAGGCACUGCACUACAACAAGCUUCAAUCACCAGAAUCAAAAAUUCCAUUUACUAUAGCCAAAAAUGCCACAACUCAUCUCUACAAUCAAAACAAACAGUCAUGGAUUUAAAAUCCAUUUUGUU